rnacentral:rRNA from 1 species
CCUACGGGAGGCAGCAGUGGGGAAUAUUGCACAAUGGGCGAAAGCCUGAUGCAGCAACGCCGCGUGAGCGAUGAAGGCCUUCGGGUCGGAAAGCUCUGUUCUUAAGGAAGAUAAUGACGGUACUUGUGGAGGAAGCCCCGUCAAACUACGUGCCAGCAGCCGUGGUAAUACGUCGGGGGCUGGCGUUAUCCGGAGUUACUGGGCGUAAGGGGGGCGUAGGUGGUUUCUUAAGUCAGAGGUGAAAGGCUACGGUUAAACCGUAGAAAGCCGUUGACACUGGGAAACUUGAGUGCAGGAGAGGAGAGUGGAAUUCCUGGUGUAGCGGUGAAAUGCGUAGAUAUCAGGAAGAACACCAGUUGCGAAGGCGGCUCUCUGGACUGUAACUGACGCUGAGGCACGAAAGCGUGGGGAGCAAACAGGAUUAGAUACCCGUGUAGUC